rnacentral:rRNA from 1 species
AUUGAACGCUGGCGGCAGGCCUAACACAUGCAAGUCGAACGAGUGGCGGACGGGUGAGUAAUGUCUGGGAAACUGCCCGAUGGAGGGGGAUAACUACUGGAAACGGUAGCUAAUACCGCAUACCAUCGGAUGUGCCCAGAUGGGUUUAGCUAGUGGGGGGGGUAACGGCUCACCUGGGCGACGAUCCGUAGCUGGUAGGAGAGGAUGACCAGCCACACUGGAACUGAGCAACGGUCCAGACUCCUACGGGAGGCAGCAGGGGGGAAUAUUGCACAAUGGGCGCAAGCCUGAUGCAGCCAUGCCGAGUGUAUUAAGAAGGCCUUAGGGUUGUAAAGUACUUUCAGCGAGGAGGCGUUACUCGCAGAAGAAGCACCGGCUAACUCCGUGCCAGCAGCCGCGGUAAUUC